rnacentral:siRNA from 1 species
UUACGAUCUAUUACUGCUGUGUGC